CGGAGCCCGGCGAGGCGCACGGGCGGGGCAGGGAGGGCGGCGCCGCCGGCCGGAUUCGCGGCUAACCGGGGGCCGCUAUGCAAUUUGUGGGCUUGGAGCCACGUCAGAAUCAAAUGGCGCCGCUAGGACCCAGGUGUCAACCAAGAAACCCAGGAGUUGCAAAUAAGAAAAGCGUUAUCUGGAGGUCCUAGAAAAUGCAAUACUGGAGACACAGAUUCAGAAGCUGCUCCAUGACUUCACCCUAACAUAAGGGACACAGCAUUUCAUGAACUCAUAAUAAUGCAAGAAGAGGGAAGCAGAGUCAGAGAAGAUGCU